CAGGAAGGGGAGGAUGAAGAGGGAAGAGAUUCUGAGAAAGGCGCCCUGGUGCAUCCCGAGGAGAAUUCCCAGAUUUCCCAGCUGGGCCCGCGGCUCCCGGCCGGGAGGAAAUCCCAGGAGCGGCAGAAGAAGCGGCACCGGGACCGGAUGGUGGAGAGGAUCCAGUUCGUCUGCUCGCUGUGCAAGUUCCGGACGUUUUUCGAGGAUGAGAUCCGGCAGCACCUGGAGAGCAAAUUCCACCGGGAGCACGUCGGGUUCGUGGGAGCGCGGCUGGCCCCGGGCAGGGCGCGCUUCCUGCAGGUGCCUUCAUCAGCAUCCUCCUCUUCCUCAUCUUCCUCAUCAUCAUCCUCAUCUUCCUCUUUAUCCUCCUCAUCCUCAUCUUCCUCCUCCUCUUCCCCUUCCUGCUUUUCCUUCCCCUUUUCCCNNNNNNNNNNUCCUCCUCAUCUUUCUCAUCCUCAUCUUCCUCAUCCAUCUCCUCCUCUUCCUCUUCUUCCUCCUCUCCUUUUCCUGCUUUUCCUCUUCCUGCUUUUCCGGGUUUCCCUCUCCCCUUUUCCCAUUUCCAGUUCGUGGCACACAGCUCCACCCACGCACGGCGCGCUUCCUCCAGGUGCCUUCAUCAUCAUCUUCCUCAUCCUCAUUCUCCUUAUCCUCAUCCUCUUCCUCAUCUUCUUCUUUAUCCUCCUCUUCCUCUUCCUGCUUUUCCUUGCC
rnacentral:lncRNA from 1 species